AAGGCUACCGGAAGCCUUAAGUAGACCAAAAUGGGGGCUCAAAUAUGCUAAUAGACGAGCUAAAUAUACUUUAAUCCUGUUAUAAUACAAGAGUGUCAACAGUUGGGUGAGCAAGCCUCCUCAGAGCUUAGAUCAGUAUCCUGUGACCUUCCGCAUUGAAGUGCGCCAUUCAGCCAAGCCUUCCAGCUGUUGCCUGAAUGG